rnacentral:misc_RNA from 1 species
AAACAAAAAAAAAAAAAAAAAACUCUUUCUGAGUCUAGGUCACUUUGAGCAAGUGCAGUAGUAUAGUAGUGUUAGGCACCCCUGAAACUAUUCAAGAAGCAUAAAAUGUAAAAGGUUGCAGUUGUUAUUUCACUAACCUAACAAUCUUUGACAUCCUUGGUGUCCUAUGUUCAAAUAACAUUUGAGCAAGCUAAACCUGCUAGUUUUUAUUAUUCAAUGAAAUGUCCAUAAGAAGUUUUUUACUGGUUCACGUGCCUUCAUCACGCGUGCUUUGACGUGCUCUGAUAGUGAUGACAUCAGCAGUAAGGGUAUUCUUUAUUAUGAAAAUAGGUUUACAUGAUUGUAUAAGGGCUUAAUAUUAAUAGGUUAUUCCCAACAAGUUUAAGGGAGAAUUUAUGCAUUAGGCCUUUAUGUUAUUCUACAAACUCUUGAGUCAUGAUUAAUUAAUUUGUUUUUUUUUUCUUCAUUGUUUUUUUAAGGUGCCUUUGGUUUUACAGAUCUCCUUUGUGCGUCGCUUAUUGGGAGAAUCAAUGGGCAGUUCAUUUAAUCCUCAGAUUUUAGUGGAAAAGCUUGCCAAGCUCAACCCUUCACAGGCAAGCAUAGAGAGUAUCCUUUUGAUAUGGAUAGUGAAUAAUGCGUCUCUUCCUAUUUAUACUUCUAAUUUCUGUCUAGGAUAAUUGUGUUGGAUGUUUUCACUUUCAUGAAUGGUCAGGCAUCCAUUUUCAAAAUCUUUUGGUAAUAACAUAUGAAAACUCUAUUAUCAAGUUUGUUGCAUUGAUAUCUCCAAAUUUUUUUAAAAAAAAAAUGAUGCAUUGCAGUUGAGCUUUACCAAGCAACUCUCAGAAAUUAUCCUUAUAAUGUUCUCUAAGGUAAAAGCUAUGUUAUGUUUAAUGGCUUUUGGAAUCCUCUAUAACUUUACACCUUGAGUUGUACCAUUGGUUGUCAUUUUCUCCUCAAUGUUUGGAACAAAGUCUAAAUAUUUUGUUUGGUUAAUUUGCUAAGUGGUUUUUCUUCAAUGAUAUAUGGUCACAGUACAUUUAGCAUGUAUAUAUGUAUUAGCCUUUUGUCUUAUGUAAUCAUUUAAACCCCUAACCUUCAGUAGACUGUGGUUCUUUUGUUUCUAAUUUGCAAUCCUUAACGCACUAAGCUUUAUCACAUUGGUGCAUUUUCCAUAUGAAUAAAGCAAAGCAAGUUGUAGAAACAUGGGAAAAACAAUUUCAUUGCUCUCCACGUGAGCAAAGAUUGGCUUUUCUGUAUCUUGCAAAUGACAUUUUGCAGAAUAGUCGUCGUAAAGGUUCAGAGUUUGUUGCUGAAUUUUGGAAGGUUCUUCCAGAUGCUCUCCAUGAUGUAAUUGGAAAUGGGGAUGAGGUUGGAAGAAAUGCUGCGCUAAGACUGAUUGGCAUAUGGGAAGACAGAAAAGUUUUUGGUUCCCGUGGGCAAAUUCUCAAGGAAGAACUUGUGGGAAAGCACUCAGAUAGUAGUAACAGAAAUGGAAAGACUAUAGGCUUCAAACAGAAACAGCCUCCUGGAAGUUCUGGAAGUACACUAGACAAGAUAAUUGCAGGUUAUCAAGUCGUUCAUGGUGGCCAGGUGGAUGAAGAUAUUAUAAUAAACAAAUGUAGGAAUGCUAUUAGCUCUCUUGAGAAAGCUGAGAAGGAAAUUGGUGUCAAUAUUAAUUCAGGACAAUUCCAUGGAGCUUCAUUUGUGGAAGAGCUGCAAGGGCAGCACGUUAUUUUGAGGGACAGCAUUGAAAAACUGAGAGUCAUUGAAUCAUCAAGGGCAAGUCUCGUGUCUCAUCUGAGAGAAGCUCUGCAGGAGCAGGAAUCCAAGCUGGAACAAAUUCGCAAUCAACUUCAGGUUUGACAUCUCGUACAUGCAAUACAUAAGUUGGCUAUUGAUAUUUGUUAUUGUUAUGACAUGCUGAUAAAUUAUAACUGGAAAUGACUCUUUAUGUCUGAUAAUUUCAAUGGUGAAUGCCACUAAUGCUUGAAAUUUCCUGGAUAAUAUAUAUAUAUACACAUAUAUGCUUAGUUUAAAGGUUCUGGCAUGUAUGUUCUUUGCUUUUGGAAAAUAAUUAAUUGCAGGAUCUUUAAGACUUUUUGCUAUGAUUUCUCUGAAUUGAAUAUUUAGAAGACCUAGUUGCACAUGCUUCUAUUUCCUAGUUUAUAACUUAGAAUUUUGAGGACAUUUGAUAUGAAAGUAUAGGUAAUACAUCCUGAUUCAGUUCAGAUAUAUAUUUUAUUGCAUUGGCAGUUGAGGGGAUAGUCUGAUAUCCCCUUAUGUGUUGGUAAAUUAUAUGUGACCUUGUUUUGUACAAUUAAACCAAACAAUUUCACAUGAUCACAUGCAUUUAUCAGUAACACAGUCAUCCUUUGUCUCAACUUUUCUCUUUUUUCUUAGGCUUAAGGUCAAUGCCUUUGCCUGUUUUCCCUUAAAUGAGUAGUAAUAUAUUAACACUAAUAUGUUUCAAGUUCAGCUUCCGAAUCUGUUUACCUGUAAUAAGUAGUAAUAUAUAAAAUGCUUUACAAAGUUUUUACCGGUAGUAAGCACUUCUGAUAAUUUGAGUGUGGCAGUGUUAUCUGUACUAACUUUAAGCAUAUUUCUGGUCUUCCUUCCAUAUUUAUUGUAGGCUGGACAGUCCCAGUCAGAACAUACUAAUAAUGUCUGCCAGCAGUUGUUGCGAUCUAAUAAUGUGCCGUUAGUUGCUGAGCAAGGUCCAAAGGAAGUUAGUACUUCCAUUGCAUCUCAAAACUUUAUACCUGGAGACAGCGAACAAUCAGCUCCAGCAAUGUACAUAAGGCAGGUAUCUUUCCCUGAAAAAACUGGUCUAAUUGAGGAAGAUCCCCGGAAGUCUGCAGCUGCUGCAGUGGCAGCAAAAUUAACUGCAUCAACAUCGUCAGCCCAGAUGCUUUCUUAUGUCCUCUCUUCACUUGCAUCUGAAGGCGGCAUUGGCAAUCCAUUAAAAGAAUCAUCUGGUGAAUACCCCUCUGGAAAGAAGGCUAAGCUCGAGAAUGAUCAGCCUUACAUGCUGAGCCAGAAUCCUUCACGGCAACCACUUCCUUCUUUUCAACAUCCUGAUACUUUCCAAGUGGCAACCACUGGUCAGCAAUUAACUUCAAAUGAUCCACCACCUCCCCCAUCAUCACCUCCACCACCACCUCCACUACCGCCUAUGCCAUCAUAUUCAAUUCCCCAGUACAUGCAGACUGCUGGAUCAAUAAAUGCUGGACCAUACAGCUACGGCAUGUCCCUGCAGCAGCCACCAUUCUUGCCUGGCUAUCCUGGAGUUGGGACUCAAAUGACAGGUAUCCCUUCCUUUGCACUGCCCCCAACAAAUUCAUACCCAAGUUAUCAGGGUUCGGAUGGUAAUUUUUACAGCCAACCAUCAUCGAUGCCAAUUUCCCGGCAGUAGAAUUUUUGAAGGCUGUUUACAGUGGGGAGGUGGUUUUGCCGUGGAAGCAUGAGAGAUAUCAAAAAACUAAUGUAGCUUGUAAGUUACCCAUGUGCCUUUGAUUAUACCCCUAAUUAGAUUUGCACAUAGUAAAUGUUUACUGCUGGCGUUUAAACAAUUUCUUUGGAUUGUUCCAUUGAGAAAUAUAUAUGAAUUGAUUCAGUUAAGACUUUUGAUUACUGGAAUGCUGAUUUGUGGCUUCAUUUCUUACUGAUUGUGCUACUUUUGUGCCCAAAUUUCU